rnacentral:lncRNA from 1 species
GUUUAUUCAACAGUUCUAUCCAUUAUGGUAGUUUCUUUUUAGUUGAUGCUUUGAGGCUCGUACACAAAUUGACCACCACGGUUUCUGUCUUCCUCUCUUUCGAUAUCCCGCUAGUUGUUUUUUCCUAGAAAGGCUGUUGCUCUGUCGGUGCGACCUGUGUGUUUGUCUCUGUGUGUCUUGGGGCCCCAGCUUUCCAUGUUGAUAGUCCUGCACCACCUGCCCAGACUCGCUUAGAUUACCAGGGCUCAGACCUGUGUGUGUGUGUGUGUGUGUGUGUGUGUGUGUGCGUGUGCGUGUGCGUGCGUGUGCGUGUGUGUGCGGUCACCAACGGCUAUGGGGCAGAGCAGAGAUGUUUCAGAGGCCAUAUGUCUCUUGUCUAGUUAAAAACACAUGGCUAACUUGCUCUUGUACCAGAGAAGAAUUCGAUCUCGGUAACAAAUGAAUCGUAUUCUGCUAGUAUCUACAGCAGCCUAGCUUGUCUCUUCUCUACUCUGUGGGUUGAGCUGCUGGUCCAGAGGAGUAAAACAUAAGAGAGAGAAGGAGAGCUUCUCCUCUAUUCUUCCUCUGAGUCGGUGUCGUUUACAUCCCCAGUUACUGUGACCAUCACAGCUGUGCCUCGUCUUAAACACUGCUUUCAACUGGUGUCUCUCUUCAUCGCUAUGCUGUUGAAACCAGGCAGUUCCAUAGACCGAGAGAUAUUCAGAAUCUCUGUUCCCAAGGAGACCUGUCCCGAGAAGGCGGCUGAUUGGUUGAUCUGAGCAUGUUGGAGUGACCGCAUUCCAUCACUCAUUCUGGUUGGCUUGGCGUGAACAUAAUUGUACAACCAUUUCAAAGAGCACUGUCUUGUUUUGUUAUCUUGAACUGUGUUAACACUGACAGCUUUUGAAAUGUGUUUUGCUAAUUUCUCUCGCACUUUGGAUGAGCCGUUGUUUCAUCACCCUGUCCUGUGCUGACGUUAAUGCAAUCAUGACUAAUUCUGACAGGCACUCGGCAUGGCUUGGUGUUAAAGUGAAAUGCGUUUUGGCUUCAUGGUCAUGUUCCCACAGCGCUGAGAUACUGAAACAGUCAGGCCUGUUGUUUUAGAGAAACAACCGCAACAUCAGAGAUAAGGGAGGAAUUAAAUUGGCUGAAAUUGUUCAUUAAAUACGUCGCUGUGGUUCCUUGAAUUGUGUGUGCGUGUGCGCAUAAUAAUGAAUGUGUGUGAGGGUUUGUAUUGAAGCUCAUUUUCUGUGGGUACAGUAACAGUCUGUAAAAGUUCUUGGAGGGCCUUUCGAGCAGCACUUUUCCUCAGUGUGUGUCUCACCUGACAAACAUACAGACACAACACAUACACAUUCGCUGUACUCUCCAUAUCCCCCUUUUGUAAAUAAGAUUCAUUAUCAUUCUAAAUGUCACCCGUUUGCUUCAAACUAUGCAACAGUAUUCUACAAUUAUAAUACUGUUGUUUUUAGUUAUUUUCACAAUUCUUCUCUUAAAGGCCCAGUGCAGUCAAACGUGAUUUUUCUUGUGUUUUAUAUAUAUUUCCACACUAUGAGGUUGAAAUAAUAGGGGAGAGUGGGUUAAGUUGAGCCUAUGGGGUAAGUUGAGCAACCCUUGUGUUAAGGAAAUCAUAAACAAAAUGUAUAAUUUGACUAAAUAUUUAAGAAGGUAAUUUCGUGGAGUCUGUGAAGGAAGAAACCAUAUUAAAAAAGUGGUAAGCAAGUUAGAUCAAAAAAACAAACAGAUUUUAUCCAAAUCAAAUGAAUUCAUUGUGUCAGAGCAGCGUUUCCCAAACUAGGAGUCUUUUUGAAAAUGGGGUCGCGAGAGAAACUCUGAAAAUAACCAAAACAUUAGGUCCGUAACCUCCGGUAGCCGCUAGAAGUGGUUGUAAAAAACAGAGCCAUUUCUGUUUUCUUCCUAGUGUGUGUCUCUUUCUAACGGUUUAAGUAUUUUGUUUCCCUCUACAAUGACUCGAUAGAACAGAGUGGACAAGACCAGGCAAUAAAUCAGGCUGUUGGAAAAAAGAAAAUCAUCAACAAUACAUUAUUUUCUACACAGAAGAUCAUACAAAAGUAUUGCCUGAUGAUCUUCUGAACUUCCCAAUACCUUUCUGAUGCAUUUUAGUCACUUCAACCCAUACUUCCAUCAGAAUUAAAUACUUUCAAAAAUACUUUCAGACUGAUUUGUAAUAGACUGUCAUAGCCCAAUUAGAAAGUUAACAUUGUCAAUUGAUUACAUUAUUGUCUUUAUAUGGCGGGGUCGCGAUUCAUUUUAAAUAUUUAAAAUGGGGUCGCGGGACAAAACACUUUGGGAACCCCUGUGUUAGAGGUUUCAUGAUGCUUGCAUCUAAACCAAAGUAGAUCAUUUUAAGAUGUUCUAUAAAUCAGUUGGGGUCUCUAAAAGCUUCAAUAUGAGGUCCUAAACCUAGCAUGAAGUGCAUCCUUGUAACUGUGUGGGCUAAUAUCGUCAAUAUGCUUAACUUAUCCCAUACCCAGGAUAAAUUGUGCCAAGAGACCACUUUUUUUGGGACAAACUAUGUUUUCAAAACUGUAAUGUUUACAUUACAUUAAUUCAGACUAUUUCCAGGGAUACACAACAUCCUGAAAUACAUGUAGAUAUCUUUGUUAGAAAUAAUACUAUUUCGUUGACAGAGUGAUGCUGAAUAUAAGAAAUGGCUCAAUUUACCCGUCUCCCCUACUGUGAAAUUGUGAAAAUGAUGAUAAUGACUGUUUAGUGUAAGAGCUGUUGAAAAGACCACCUGAAAUCUUAGGAUGUUUUGGUGGGAUGGAGUUUAGGCCUGCCUGGUAAUAUCACCAGUAAAUGAGUUAAUAGACAAAUGACAGCUAGUUUUCAGUUUUCCCCUCCUCACUCAAACCAAUCCCAUACAUUCCUAGCAAAAUUGCUCUUUGCUAAGAAGCUAUUUGUACUUAUUUUUGACCAUUUCAAUUGAAAACAAUCAUCGUAAGGUUACUGUUACCCUGAAAUGAUUUGAUAUUGAGAUAAAAACAGCUGCAUUGGACCUUUUUAAUGCUCUCCUCCUCUCUCUCUCCCUCUCGCUCCUCUUUCUUUUUGUCUGUGUGCUUGUUUAUGUCUCAGUGGAUGCAGUUGUUUCCCAUAUUUCAAUUCUUUAUACUAAAAGAAAAGCAGGUGUAUUAUGUGUGUGCACGAUGUGCACCCACCCUGAAUUUUUCUUUACUCUUUUGUAAUAUAUGAUCAUGUGGAAUGCCUUGGUCUUUAUGUCCUGUUGUUUUGAAUUUAACAGAACAAAAAAAUGAUAAUCAAGCAAUUGAGGUGAAAGUUAUUAUAAAUAUAUAUAUAUAUAAACAAAUCUAUAUACAUAAAAUAAAGC